ensembl:lncRNA
UUUACCCACAGGUGCAAUGCAGGAGAAUGAAUAUCACAGCAUAUUGAAUAAGAAAUACAUACUUUUAUUUUCUUUUCUCAGCUAUAUAUACAUAACCAGUGUGUGAAGCAGAUGCUAUAUCCCCGAGCUUCACCUCAGUCUACCAUUGUGAUGAGCAAGACUCCUUCCAGCCCUCACCGUCCUCCUUUCUAGGCAGAGGAUUGAUUGCCCUCUGAGAGCAGACAUACUCCGAAGCAGAGACAUCGAGCAUUUAUACAGCAGAGGGACACCAUACAUUUGACCUUCAUGGAAAGAUAACUGGCCAAAAAGACACUGAAUAUUUACAGGGAUGCUUAUUAGCUGGAAACCAUGCAUUCAUACAAUUUAUGAGUUUUUCAUGUAUCAGAUCUAUAGGCAAUUAUGUGUUUACUGUGGUUCACACCCAUGAUAUAUAUUUGCCAUUGACCUGAGGGAGAAGAAAAGAAGGAAUGAUCCUUUAUUGAGCCAUCACCCUACACUGAGUUGAUUGGCAGAUAUAUGACAUGUGCUUACUUGAUUUCUCCCACAAAAAGCUUCAGGUUUUGAAUGUCAGUCACCAGAGUUUGUAGCUGCUUUUGUGAAGCUAUAGAAUAGCCCAAAUGUGAACCUAGUGACUGCUCUAGGCCUAUGCUGAGGUCCAAACUGUAUUAUCCUAUUUAUGAGAGAGCAGGAAGGCACCAAAUUAUUGUCUCCUUCACACUGGCUCUUUCUCAUGACUGUGUGAGAAGGCAGACUCUUACUCAUACUUCGGUCUUGCUAAAGCAGAGGACAAUAUUUUGACUCCCUUACCUGAAAGUGUAACUGAGUGCUCUGUUUGCACAAGCACCUCCCAACGCUUAGCUUGUGUGCCAUGAAUUGUGUUGAUUUGUCAUAUGAACUAAUACAAGACCAGUAAAAAACCUCUUCAGGACAUACUGCAGUUAAAAUUCCAGAAAUUCAGCACAAUCAGAGAAUAUUAAAAGCUGUUAGAAACAAAACAAAACAAAACAAAACAAAAAGCAAUCUAUAAAGGUAAGCAUAUCUGAAUAACAUCAGGUUUUUCAGCACAAAGUUUAAAGCCUAGGGGAGCUUGGAGCAAAGAUAUUUUAAGGUCUAAAAGAAAUCAACUGUCAACUAAGAUUCCUAUAUUCUGCAAUUUUUUUCAUCAGAAUUGAUUGUGAGAGGAAAACUUUAUGCAACAAAUAAAAUCUAAAUAAACUCACUAAAAUCUAAAUAAACUUCCAGUAAGCUAGCAUUGUGGAAAGUACUCAAGAUAAUCCUAGACAGAGAGAGUGAGGCCUCUACCAUCAAAAAGCCUAAAAGAAAUAGUACAGCCCCCUGAGAUAGCAUGUAAACAAAGUGAAAAAAUAAAGAAAUCAACACUGUUGGAGGAAAGAUAGCCUAUUUAAUAAAUGGUGUUGGGAAAACUGGAUUUCAACCUGCCAAAGAUUAAAACUAGACCCAUACCUAUCACCAGCACUAAACUAAGAUCAAAGUGGAUUAAAUACCUAAGUAUUAAGACAGAAACACUAAACUUGCUGGAAGAUAAAUUAGGCAGAACUCUUAAAGACAUUGGCAUAGGAAAAGACUUUAUGAACAAAACCUCAGUAGCAUGGGAACUAGCACAAAGAAUCAACAACUGGGAUCUUAUUAAAAAGCUUCUUCACUGCAAGAGAAACCACCAACAGAGUUAAGAGACAACCUACAAUGUGGGAAAAUUUUUUUAGCAGGUGUACCUUAGACAAAGGACUACUAUCUAGAAUAUAUAAAGAACUGAAAAAAAUCAGACCCUGCAAAUUCAAAGACCCAAUUAAAAAAUGGGCAUCUGAAAUGAAUAGAUAUUGCUCAGACAAAGAAGUAAAAGCAGCAAAUAAAUAUAUGAAAAAAUGUUCAACAUCACUGGUCAUUUGAGAGAUGCAGAUGAAAACAACACUGAGAUUCCACCUCAUCCCAGAAAGAAUGGCUGCUAUCAAGAAAUCAACCAAUAACAAAUUCUGGCAGGGGUGUGGAGAGAAAGGAACCCUUCCCAUUGUUGCUGGGAGUGCAGACUGGUGCAACCACUGUGAAAAUCAGUAUGGAGAUACCUCAAAGAACUAGGGCUAGAGGUCCCAUUUGACCCAGCUAUUUCUCUGCUGGGUAUCUUCCCUAAAGAAUUAAAAGAAUCAUACUGUCAGAUAAAAGGGCCAAAGACCAAGACCAGACCAGACCACAACAAGCCUUUAUUAGGGGAAUAGAUCUGCCGGGCUGUCUCUGAACAAAGGAGAGACAAAAAGCAACAUGGCCGAGGCAGGGAGAGUCUUUUAUAGAGACAGGGGUGGAGUUUGUAGGGGCUGAGGCAGGGUUGAGUGAGGUAGUGAUCAGGGAGUGGAGGAGCCCGGGACGUUACUAGGUGGUAGGAGGUGAGUGAGUAUUAGGUUACUCUAUAGGUGAGACCAGGGGCAUGCUGGGAAGAAGGGUUUGUUCUUUGGUGGGAGCAACCAUCUUGGCAUGACGUCACACAGGGGAGGGGGCAAGGCACUGUAGGAAGAGGGCAGCUACUAUACAUAAUGGCUGCUGAGGUAGUGGAAGACCUAUCACAUACCACAGUGAUAUAUGUGCACCUAUGUUUAUAGUGGCAUGGCUUGUAAUAGCUAAAGCUUGGAAACAGCCCAAGUGCCCAUUAGCUGGAAACUGGAUAAAGAAGAUGUGUGUGUUUUUUUUUAAUAAAAUGGAGUACUACUCAGCCAUAAAGAACGGGAAACUAGAGACAUUUAUAGCUAAAUGAAUGCAUAUUGAGGCCAUACUCUUAAGUGAAAUAAAUAGGAAGCACAUGUGUAAAUACCGAAUAGUUUCUCUAGUGUGAGAAACUGAAAAUGCAAAUAAGGAUUAAAAUGAUUAAAAUGAAUAAUUGAUAAUUUGAAAUAGGAAGAAAAGGUCCAAAGGUGUAGGGAUGGUGGGAGGGGAAGGGGAAAGGAAAGAAUGGAAAGGAAAAAUUAUGAGAAAAGAAAAAAAAUGGAAAUGAAGUCUAUGUAAAUAGGGAAGGGUGGAGGGGGUGAAGGACACACAGGUAAUGGGGAAAAAGUAAGAACCAAGAUACAUCACGUACAGGUACAAGCACCCAAUGAUAAAUGUAAACAUAUUGUAUACCUACAAUGUACCAAUAAAAGAAUUUAAGGAAAAAAAGAGAAAUCAACACUGCAAAAAGAACACAAUGACAGCAUCCAGUAAAUAGCUGUCAACAAUAGAGUUCAAUGUAAAUGGUCUCAACUCCCCAAUUAUAAUACACAGACUGGUAGAUUGGAUCAAAAAAACAAAAUCUGAAUCUCUGUUGCCUGCAAGAGACACAGUUUAUCCACAGAAAAAC